rnacentral:rRNA from 1 species
UACGAAGGGGGCUAGCGGUGUUCGGAAUCACUGGGCGUAAAGCGCACGUAGGCGGAUUGUUAAGUCAGGGGUGAAAUCCCGAGGCUCAACCUCGGAACUGCCUUUGAUACUGGCGAUCUAGAGUCCGGGAGAGGUGAGUGGAACUGCGAGUGUAGAGGUGAAAUUCGUAGAGAUUCGCAAGAACACCAGUGGCGAAGGCGGCUCACUGGCCCGGAACUGACGAUGAGGUGCGAAAGAGUGGGGAGCAAACAGG